GUUAGGAAUAUUGGACAAUGGGCGCAAGCCUGAUCCAGCCAUGCCGCGUGAGUGAUGAAGGCCUUCGGGUUGUAAAGCUCUUUAGUCCACGAAUAUAAUGACUGUAGUGGAAGAAUAAGCCCCGGCUAACUUCGUGCCAGCAGCCGCGGUAAUACGAAGGGGGCGAGCGUUAUUCGGAAUCACUGGGCGUAAAGCGUGCGUAGGCUGUUUUGUAAGUCAGAAGUGAAAGCCCAGGGCUUAACCCUGGAAUUGCUUUUGAAACGACAAGACUCGAAUUCGGGAGAGGAUAGCGGAAUUGUCAGUGUAGCAGUGAAAUGCGUAGAUAUUGACAGGAACACCAGUGGCGCAAGCGGCUAUCUGGACCGAUAUUGACGCUGAGGCACGAAAGCGUGGGGAGCAAACAGGAUUAGAAACCCUGGUAGUC
rnacentral:rRNA from 1 species